rnacentral:rRNA from 1 species
UACGUAGGGUCCGAGCGUUGUCCGGAAUUACUGGGCGUAAAGCGUGCGCAGACGGUUUGGUAGGUCUUAUGCGAAAUCCGGUGGCUCAACCACCUGGACUGUAUGAGAAACCCCCUGACUUGAGGUAGGUAGAGGUACAUGGAAUUUCUGGUGUAGGAGUGACAUCCGUAGAUAUCAGAAGGAACACCAAUGGCGAAGGCAGUGUACUGGGGCCUUACCUGACGUUCA